UCGGGAAUUUUGGGCAAUGGGCGAAAGCCUGACCCAGCAACGCCGCGUGAAGGAUGAAGUAUUUCGGUAUGUAAACUUCGAAAGAAUAGGAAGAAUAAAUGACGGUACUAUUUAUAAGGUCCGGCUAACUACGUGCCAGCAGCCGCGGUAAUACGUAGGGACCAAGCGUUGUUCGGAUUUACUGGGCGUAAAGGGCGCGUAGGCGGCAAUUCAAGUCAUCUGUGAAAUCUCCGGGCUUAACUCGGAACGGUCAGAUGAUACUGCUUUGCUAGAGUGCAGAAGGGGCAAUCGGAAUUCUUGGUGUAGCGGUGAAAUGCGUAGAUAUCGGGAGGAACACCUGUGGCGAAGGCGGCCACCUGGUUGGAUACUGACGCUGAGACGCGAAAGCGUGGGGAGCAAACAGGAUUAGAUACCCCAGUAGUCCCUGAGCGGGCUGGCAAGGCG
rnacentral:rRNA from 1 species